UUAUUUGCUGGCAAGAGCGUCUCAAUAAAAUUAGUGGCCUAAAUCUAAAUAUUGAACAAGAGCAGUCACAAUAGAAUUAGUGGCAUAAGGCCAAAUAUUAAGCAACGCGCUCGAUAAAAUUAGUGGCCUAAGACCAAAUAUUAAGCAAGAGCGUCUCAAUAUACAUACUCUCCACAUUAUUCUGAGGUCUUAAAUAUAUAUAUCCGACACAUUAUUGGCA